rnacentral:rRNA from 1 species
AACGAACGCUGGCGGCAGGCUUAACACAUGCAAGUCGAACGGUUGUAGCAAUACAGCAGUGGCGCACGGGUGAGUAACGCGUGGGAAUAUACCGAGAAGUGGGGAAUAACUCCGGGAAACUGGAGAUAAUACCGCAUACGCCCGAGAGGGGAAAGAUUUAUCGCUUUUCGAUUAGCCCGCGUGAGAUUAGGUAGUUGGUGGGGUAAUGGCCUACCAAGCCGACGAUCUCUAGCUGGUCUGAGAGGAUGAUCAGCCACACUGGAACUGAGACACGGUCCAGACUCCUACGGGAGGCAGCAGUGGGGAAUAUUGCACAAUGGGCGAAAGCCUGAUCCAGCCAUGCCGCGUGAAUGAUGAAGGCCUUAGGGUUGUAAAGUUCUUUCGCCGAUGAAGAUAAUGACGGUAGUCGGAGAAGAAGCCCCGGCUAACUUCGUGCCAGCAGCCGCAGUAA